GAGCGAGUUAGCGGAUAUCCACUUAAUAUUGCCAUCCCUAGUUAGAGGAGUGAGGAGCUUGAUGGAGAAAGCAGUAGGAAAGAGGAAGGAGAAAACCUAAAAGUAACGGUACAUAAUCCUAGUAAAUUUACAAAAUUAUCCCAAAUAAUUCAAAGAACUGACGACUUUACCCUUGUGAUUAACAAAUUUUGUCAAUCAUAAAUAUUAACUUGUAUUUCCGCAGCUAAGAUCACAUGUUAUAUUUUUUUUUAUAAUUUAUUAUUUUUUUAUAUAUUUUUUUUAGAAUAUACGAAUCUAAAUGUCCUUACAACACAAAGUUAGACAAAUAGAAUAUAAAAGUUCUCAUGUCUUAUGGAUAAACUAAUUCAAGUAGAUUGUAAAAGUUCUCCUGUCUUCUGGAUAAAUUAAUACAAGCAAAUUGGAAGAAACAAAGGGAAAAUAAAAAUAACAAAGAUAACUAAACUGAGCUAAACUAAACUAAACUUCAAAGCUUCUCAACACUAGUAUAUUAAAGUAAAUGGGAAGCCUCGAAUAGGGAGCGGUUAUUGAAUUCCGCUUCCAAAAACACCUAAAAAAAACCAAAUCAAGCAAAUGGGAAGCGGUUAUGGAUGAACCGCUCCCAAAUAGUGUAAUUGGUAGCGGUUUGUACAGUGAAUCGCUCCUCAUUUGCUAAAAUACCCCAUCUUCUUCUCUCUCCUCCUCUCAUUUCUCACGCUCUUCUUCUCUCUCCUCUCAUUUCUCACGCCAUCUUCUGUCUCACGCCUCACUUCUUUCUCCUCUCUCCCCUCCAUUCUCACGUCCUUUCCUCUCUCCCUUCCAUUCUCACGUCCUCUCCUCUCUCCAUCUCCUUCUCUUUCUGUUCUCUCUUCUCCUUUCUCAAGCUUCCCUUUCUUUUCUCUCUCCUCUUAUCACCGGCCACAACAACCACCCACCAGGCAACCACCGAGUAGCCUACAACAACCCACCAAGCAGCCCAAAUCGAGCAAAUCCGAGCAAAAAUCGAGUUAAAUUCGACCAUGGAAUUCUAGUAUUUUAGGUGGCGUCGGUUGCGGUGGUGGGAUCCUGGCGUCGAUUGCGGUGGUGGGCUGCUGGCUUCGGUUGCGGGGGUGGGCUGCUAGCUUCGGCUGGUGGCUACGAUGGCGGUGGUGGCGGAAUAGGGUGGUGGUGAUUUUGGUUGUAUUUUUCUUGGUGUUGAAUUAUAAUGUAAUAUUACAAUUAAUUAUUAAUGGAAAUAUAAAUUUUUAUACUUACGUUUUAUAUUUGUGUA